CCAGACAUGCAGUCCUGGCUGAAAGUGCAUAUUUGUCAGUGUGCCUUGAAGGUCUGGUCAACUACCAUGAAGAAAAAUGCACAGCUCUACAUGUCCACUCAAAAAGAGCAGGGUCCCUGAAGGCAUUUUUACCUGGGUGGGGAUAAUAUCUCAUUCUUUUAGCCUCAGAGGGGGAAAGAAAUCGUUACCAUAUCACCAGCUCCCUUGCUCUUCCCAUCUCAGGAAUGCUAUGAAUAGUGUUUUCAGAAUGGCUAGAAAAUUCACCUGUAUGCAAGAGAACAUCACUAAAUACCACUUAGAGAUCUUCAUAGAUUGGAAGCUACUCCCCAGUACAACAGCAUGAAUGUCUUUUUAAUUCAAAGGGAAUCAAAUAUA